ACCCUACGGGACGCAGCAGUGGGGAAUAUUGCACAAUGGGGGGAACCCUGAUGCAGCGACGCCGCGUGAGUGAAGAAGUAUUUCGGUAUGUAAAGCUCUAUCAGCAGGGAAGAAAAUGACGGUACCUGACUAAGAAGCCCCGGCUAACUACGUGCCAGCAGCCGCGGUAAUACGUAGGGGGCAAGCGUUAUCCGGAUUUACUGGGUGUAAAGGGAGCGUAGACGGCAGAGCAAGUCUGAAGUGAAAGCCCGCGGCCCA
rnacentral:rRNA from 1 species